rnacentral:tRNA from 1 species
GGAUAUAAUUUAGUGGUAGAAUGCUUGCCUGACAUGUGCAAGGUCUGGAGUUCAAUCCCCAGUACCA